rnacentral:rRNA from 1 species
GUGGGUAGUUUGACUGGGGCGGUCUCCUCCUAAAGAGUAACGGAGGAGCACGAAGGUUGGCUAAUCCUGGUCGGACAUCAGGAGGUUAGUGCAAUGGCAUAAGCCAGCUUGACUGCGAGCGUGACGGCGCGAGCAGGUGCGAAAGCAGGUCAUAGUGAUCCGGUGGUUCUGAAUGGAAGGGCCAUCGCUCAACGGAUAAAAGGUACUCCGGGGAUAACAGGCUGAUACCGCCCAAGAGUUCAUAUCGACGGCGGUGUUUGGCACCUCGAUGUCGGCUCAUCACAUCCUGGGGCUGAAGUAGGUCCCAAGGGUAUGGCUGUUCGCCAUUUAAAGUGGUACGCGAGCUGGGUUUAGAACGUCGUGAGACAGUUCGGUCCCUAUCUGCCGUGGGCGCUGGAGAAC